CCUCCGAGGCGCGAAGACUAACAAACUGGAAGCAGAGAGAUAGACAGGCUCCGUCUUUUUCACAACAGGUGCACCGAACAAUUCACCGAAGGUUGGGGGGGGUCGGAAUUCGGUGGGGUCGGCAUUUUUGGUUCUCCGCGAGCGUCCCUCAAGUCUGGAUCGAUGAGCGUGGGCAUGCAACGACCCGGCGCAAGAAGGGUGACCGAGGGCCCUGGGCGCGACCCCCGCCCAUCCUCCCCAGAAAGCGGUGCACUUUCUCCCGCCCCAAAACGACCUCCCCUGGGCUGUCCCCCGCCCCCACCGGGCCUCCAGCGCUGGGUGAACCCGGCCGGGCGUCACUCGACGCCCACUGGGGGCCGGGGCGGUUCCAGUGCGCACGCUCCGGGCCCGGGAUAAAAGGGGAGCUGGCUAGCGCGGCGCCGUCUCGAUGGAGGAGCGAGAAACGGAAGAGGUCGGGGGGAGAAGCAGCUGGGGAAACGCAGCCAUCGUCCGUGCCGCCUCCCUGCCACCGUGUUUCGCGGUAAACGCUGUUGUUGCCGUCGGUGCAGCUGCCGUCGCUGCCUCCUAUACUUCUCUUGGCCCCGGGGAAGGCGAUCCUCUCCGCGGGACAGUGUCAGGGGAGGGGAGCGGGAAUUCCUUUAUGUGGUGGUGAUUAAACGAGGGAGGGGCAGAGACGGUUAUCUGGAAGAAAAAUGGGGGACAGGCCAAAGAAUAAAAGGAGGGUUUCCCCCACUCAAGUGACACGGCAAUUCCGGCUCUUGUUCCCCGGGUCGCUCCCCGAAAUGGCGGUUUCCGUCUUCUUGCCCCACAGCGACCCGGGGCGUUUAGUAAGCCGAGUGGGGAGAGGCAGAGGCGGUCGCGGCAGCCAAUCGGCGCCUGAGGUAUUCUGUCGGGCGCGUCGUGAUUGGCUAGUGAUGACCUCAUGCUGCAGCAGCGGGAGGGGCCAAAGCCGCCCGGGGAUGCUGUUGCAAAGGCAGAGAGGGAGAAGUGACGAUGGUGAUCGUUGCCGCCGCUCCCGGUACGGAACCCAAGCAGUGGCGAUGGGAAUCGCAAGGCUCUUCCCUCACCAUUUCCUCCUGUCCCUGCGCGAGCUCUGGUCGUCAUCUUUCAUGAACGAUAAAAUACAGUAA
rnacentral:lncRNA from 1 species